rnacentral:rRNA from 1 species
GAUGAACGCUAGCGGCAGGCCUAAUACAUGCAAGUCGAACGGGAUCCAGAUCAAAGCUUGCUUUGGUUUGGUGAGAGUGGCGCACGGGUGCGUAACGCGUGAGCAACCUACCCUUGUCAGGGGGAUAGCCCGGCGAAAGUCGGAUUAAUACCGCAUGACAUCAUUGAGAGGCAUCCUUCGAUGAUCAAAGAUUUAUCGGACAAGGAUGGGCUCGCGUGACAUUAGCUAGUUGGUAAGGUAACGGCUUACCAAGGCUACGAUGUCUAGGGGCUCUGAGAGGAGAAUCCCCCACACUGGUACUGAGACACGGACCAGACUCCUACGGGAGGCAGCAGUAAGGAAUAUUGGUCAAUGGACGGAAGUCUGAACCAGCCAUGCCGCGUGCAGGAAGACGGCCCUAUGGGUUGUAAACUGCUUUUAUACGGGAACAAACGUCGGUACGUGUACCGGUCUGAGUGUACCGUAAGAAUAAGGAUCGGCUAACUCCGUG